AUGCUCAAAAUCUGUCCAGAAACCAACACCCACUUGAAGCAAACUUUUGAUUCAGGACAUGGGAGCAGCCAACCACCACCAGAACCUUCUCUUUGGGAAGUUGUUUUACUCCUGCUCUGCGUAAUUCUUUCCUUUGCUUCCUUUCUUUCCCCCACAUUUCAACAUUUCACAUCUGUCUCUCUUGGGACCUGUACUUGGUUCUCCAGGGACCUGUAUCCUUCAGCCACAUGCUUCCAGAAUUACACAGCUCUGAGGAAAGAAAUGGUGGGCAUCCCUAGCCAGGGCGAUCCUUUGAAUUUUGAUUUCCUCAAACAGAGAUUUUUUUAUUUCUUUAUUUUUUUAAAUUUAACGAGCCAUUGAUGAAUGCCCUUUAGGCUUGAGCCUUGCUAUUUGCUCAAGGUAUCCUCAAUGAUCUCCCCUUCCCUCCCCUGCCUUUGCCAGACUCAUGGCCAGGGCUUGCUUUUCUUUUCCUUUUCCUCUAACUGGAACAUCAAGGAUGUACUGUUGCAGCACAGAGACUGAAAAGACUGUAAUUUUCUUUUACGGUGUCUGGCAGGAUUUGCAACAGAUAUUAUUGGGGACGUAAAUAGCUCAUGGAAGGUAUUGAACAAAACUGUUUAAUGCAAGGAGGUUGUACCAAGAGAAAAUCUAUACGUAGUUGAAAUUGAUUCAUACCUUGAACACAGCUGGCCCCUUUAGGAUUUCCCCGUUUCUGUGUGCCCACUUCAUUGGCAAAUCCUGUAAUUAAAGCAACUUUCGACAAUGUUUUUUUUUUUUUUUAAGGGUGGGGGAGGAAUUCCCCCCCACCCCCACCUCCUCUUUCGCUUGACCCAAAAGGUUGUGGCUUUAAGCGAGUGAGUGAAAAUGGCAGGCAGGCUGAGCUGCAGCAACAGGAGAUGGGGGCAGCGGUGGGGGAGGCCGGAAGGUGACAGCCGACCUCGGGGAAGCAGGAGGUCUUGGAUGUUAAAUGCCCGAGCCUGCCCGGACCUGGGAAUCAAAGUGCUCAUCACUACUGGGUGGGACUGGACCACUGAAAUGCUCCAAGGGUAGCUGCGAGCAUUGGUACUAUACCUAACAUCAAGGAAGAAAACAGCUACUUAAUUCUGCUUUCAACUCUGAAAGCACAAGCCGCAAUAGCUCCAGCAGCAGUAGGAGCGGCAGCAGCAGAUUUCCUGAAGUUCAGGAUGAUUCUCACUUUCUCCUGGAUCAUUUGUCAAGAGUCCUGUGCUUCUCGUUCUUUAGCACGGAAAAGGUCUCAAAAGCCCCACUUCUCGCUUUCUCCGUGGAUGGUAUAGAAAAUCUCCUGCAAUUUAUGGUGGGAAAAACAGUAAUAGUAAUGAUACAGGCUUAUUGGAGAUUC
rnacentral:lncRNA from 12 species